UACACAAAACUUCAAGAAUUUUAAAGAAAAAAUUUAGUACAAUUGAGGAGGCCUGGUGAGGCAGUGAAUUUCAAAUAACACUUGCAUCAGCAUCACCACGGUUUCAAGUCCCCAACUGGUCCUGCUGUCCAGUUCAAAAUCUUUUCACCAGGCUUCAAGUAUAUACUCUUCUGAUGUGGCAAUUUACGAGCUAGCCCAUUCAAUAUUUGAUGGAAAGCAUCUCCUGGCAGUGCAGGUUGCGGGAACAACAU
rnacentral:lncRNA from 1 species